CAGCCGCCGCGGGAAUACGUAGGUGGCAAGCGUUGUCCGGAAUUAUUGGGCGUAAAGCGCGCGCAGGUGGUUUAAUAAGUCUGAUGUGAAAGCCCACGGCUCAACCGUGGAGGGUCAUUGGAAACUGUUAAACUUGAGUGCAGGAGAGAAAAGUGGGAUUCCUAGUGUAGCGGUGAAAUGCGUAGAGAUUAGGAGGAACACCAGUGGCGAAGGCGGCUUUUUGGCCUGUAACUGACACUGAGGCGCGAAAGCGUGGGGAGCAAACAGGAUUAGAUACCCGUGUAGUCCCUGUCUCUUAUAC
rnacentral:rRNA from 1 species